CUAUAUUCAAAUUUACUUUACUCGUUGAAGAAAUUAGCUCCAUUUUUCUUGAAUUUUCCCAUGAAUCUAACGCAAAAAUCAAUUAAAUCUACUUGUUCAAAUGGAGAAUUACUUAUUAGUUUCAAGAAUCUUCAUUCAAGACUGAAUUUUUCAUCAUCAAAUUGUGUCCAAAUUCUAACAGAUUAUAGUGGGUCUGCCAGACCCUUUUCAAACCCUCUGCAUAACUUUCUACCUAAAACCCAAAACCCCCAAAACACAGUGAGUCUGAUAUGUUCAGCUCUAAAGAACAGAAACAAUGACCAUUUGUCCCUCCUUCAGAAAACCAUCCAAGAUAAUGGGCUUAUUAGUUAUUUCAGUGACAGUGAAAUCUCAAGGGUCCUGUUGAGAUGCCAGUCUGAUUCAUGUAGUGCUCUUAGUUUCUUUAACUGGGUCAAGAAUGAUUUGGGUGUGGAGCCUAACACUCAAAACUACUGUCUUGUAAUUCAUAUACUGACUUGGACAAGGAACUUUUCACAAGCAAUGAAAUUUUUGUCUGAAUUGGUUGAUUUGAAGAGAGAUGGAAUGGAGAGUGUGGAUGUGUUUGAAAGUUUGCUUUCAUCUAGUGGUUUGUGUAAUUGGGACCCUGUUGUGUUUGAUAUGCUAAUUAAGGCUUUUCUCAAGGUGAACAUGGUGAAAGAUGGAUUUAGAGCGUUUAGGAAGACGGUGAAGCAUGGAAUGUACCCGAGUGUUAUUACUGUGAACUGUCUUUUAACUGGUCUUUCAAAGUUGAAUUAUAGCAAAAAAUGUUGGGAAGUUUAUGCUGAAAUGGAAAGAAUUGGAGUGCACCCGAAUUCGUGUACCUUUAAUAUAUUAACCCAUGUCUUGUGCAAGGAUGAAGAUGUGAACACGGUUAAUGAAUUCUUGGAGAAAAUGGAAGAAGAAGGGUUUCAACCUGAUAUAGUUACAUAUAAUACUUUAGUUAGUAGCUAUUGUAGGAAAGGAAGACUGAAAGAUGCAGUUCACUUGUAUCAAAUUAUGUACAUUAGAGAUGUAUCACCAGAUUUGUUCACAUAUACUUCUUUGAUAAAUGGCUUUUGUAAAAAGGGAAAUGUGAAAGAUGCUCAUCAGUUGUUUAUAAGGAUGGCUGACAGAGGGUUAAAACCAGAUGUUAUUUUGUAUAACACUCUUAUUUCUGGUUAUUGCAAAGAGGGGAUGAUGCAAGAGGCACGUUUUCUGUUGCAUGACAUGAUUGGAGAAGGGAUGCAUCCUGAUAAGUUCACUUGUACAGUUCUUGUACAAGGAUAUCAAAAACAGGAUAAUUUGGUUUCAGCUGUGAAUUUAGUCACCGAGCUUCAAAGAUUUAGAUUUGUAGUAUCUCAUGAUAUAUACAAUUAUCUUAUUGCUGCACUUUGUAUUGAGAAUCGACCAUUUGUAGCCAAAGCUCUAAUUGAUCGAGUAUCUGGCGACAGAUAUGAGCCUGGCAAUAUGGUCUACGGGGAGUUGAUUGAAUCUUUCUGCAGAUGCAAUUUCCCCGAUGAGGCUUCAUGCUUAAAAGCAGAGAUGGUAUCAAAAGAUUUGAAGCCUGAUAUUGGUACAUAUAGAGCUAUAAUUAAAUGUUUGUGUAAAUUAGGCCGAAGCAUGGAUGCCAACUCCUUGAUGAGAGAAAUGACUGAUUGUGAUGUGCCACCUGAUAUUGAAGUCUGUAGAGCUUUAAUAAAUGGUCAUUGUGGGGAGAACAAUUUCUGUGAGGCUCAAUCGCUGUUAAGCUUCUUUGCUCAAGAAUUUAAAAUAUUUGACACAGUUUGUUACAACACAAUUGUCAGGCUUCUAAGUGGUAAAGGUGAUAUUGCAAAAUUGAUGAAAUUUCAAGAUAAAAUGAGGAAAGUGGGUUUUGCGCCAAAUCAGCUGACAUGCAAGUACGUUAUUGAUGGAUUACAGAAAGCCGUGGGAGUCCACAAAAUCAACAGCUGAGUGCAGUAAUGAGUUCAGUCUUUGGUGGCAAUGAUUUUCUCCGUUAAGAUGACAUUGCUGCAGUGGAUCUCAAAUGACUUUAGCUUCUUUACUGAAAGGUGCUUGGAUUCACACAUCUUGAGAUUGGACACGGAGCUUCUUGAUCUUGACGUUUCAGAAAUAGAGGAUCAAUCACUUCAGGGUACAGGGUUAUGAAAUAUGAAGCUAUAUUACUUGCAGAAGGAUUAACAUUGGUUUCUGUUAGAGUUGAACUUAAGAUCCUCAGUACUAGAACCACAGAUCAAGUUUGAAUUAUAUGCUAACUGGUUCUUUGUGUUUUGUUUUCAGCUGUAUUAUGGUUCCUUCAUGGCUGACCUAAAUUUGGAAUUAUAAGUGGCUGGCUAAAGAAGGUGUCAAUUCUCAAAGGUCAGAUCCUGCUUCCAUAGUAUUGGAGCUCACCUGUAUUUUCCAGUUAAUUGUGAAGAUUUCUGUUAAUAUCAAAAGCACCGACCUUUGCUGCUAUGAAUUGGUUCUAAUACAAGGGAGGAAACAAUGAAAAGCUUCUCCAGAUUUAAAGUUGGUUUUUGACAUGCAGAUGCACAUAUGGGGUGGUAGAACUUCCUUUAAGAUUUUCCUUUGUCAGGGAUCUCAUUCAGCCUCUCUAUCUUCACAAGGUAGGAUAAGGCUGCGUAGAUCCUACCUGUGGGAUUACACCGGAUAUGUUGUUGUAGGGAUCUCAUCUCAUAACAAGACCCUGUACCCUGCUGUUCAAGAGUUUAUACAUUGUUGAAGCUAAUGUAUCUGUCUGCUUAUAUAAGAUGCUUCUUAUCCUUUCA